rnacentral:rRNA from 1 species
GAUGAACGCUGGCGGCGUGCCUAAUACAUGCCAGUCGAGCGAACGGACGAGAAGCUUGCUUCUCUGAUGUUAGCGGCGGACGGGUGAGUAACACGUGGAUAACCUACCUAUAAGACUGGGAUAACUUCGGGAAACCGGAGCUAAUACCGGAUGAUAUUUUGAACCGCAUGGUUCAAAAGUGAAAGACGGUCUUGCUGUCACUUAUAGAUGGAUCCGCGCUGCAUUAGCUAGUUGGUAAGGUAACGGCUUACCAAGGCAACGAUGCAUAGCCGACCUGAGAGGGUGAUCGGCCACACGGGAACUGAGACACGGUCCAGACUCCUACGGGAGGCAGCAGUAGGGAAUCUUCCGCAAUGGGCGAAAGCCUGACGGAGCAACGCCGCGUGAGUGAUGAAGGUCUUCGGAUCGUAAAACUCUGUUAUUAGGGAAGAACAUAUGUGUAAGUAACUGUGCACAUCUUGACGGUACCUAAUCAGAAAGCCACGGCUAACUACGUG